UUUGUUUUGUUUUUUUUUUUCGUCAAAUGACGGCUUCUCCGAGUCUGUGACCAAAGCGAGUAACGGGUCACUUAGGACAAGAUCAAUCAGUAUGUAUUCCUGUGGGACUCCAUUGGUGAUCUUCCUCCGGUGAUUUUUUUAAGAGAGUGUAGAUACACAACUGAGAUCUCUCAACUAAACAAAAAUGUCAGGAACUGAGGAGAUGUAUGGGAACGGAUGAGAUGUACAGAAAAGGAACAUGUUGGAACUCCUUUAUCUUCUGGUAUUAACCAGGGUUCCUGCAGUCUGGUGUAUAAGGGCUUGAUCACAUGAAAAAAGAACGGCACAAAAACAGAAGUGCUAGACUGGUCUGAUUUUAAGGUGAUGUUCAUCAGAAAUGACUAAUUGAUGCUCCUUAAUUACAGGACAACUACAAGCAUUUGUGAUUUCUAUCAAGAUGUAUUAUUAGAAAAUUUUCAACCACUCGUGCUUAUUUUAAAGUUUCUGGGUAACCAGCAGGGUGUCAGCUAUUUAAGGUUACUAGUUGGUAAGUCAUACGGUACCCAGUCCCCACCUCCCCCAGUCUCCUUGCAGCUUCAGUUCUGGCGCCUUCAUGUCAAUAGAUGAAUUUAGAACCGGGCCUGAAGGAAGUCUUUGGGAGAUAAGCACACAUUACAACACUGUCCAGAAUAGGGAUGCGUCUUGUUGGACACCUUCCUGCUCUCCUAAACUCAGAAAUGUGCAAGUAUUUCUGACAAGAGUGACUGCUAUUGCUAAUGGAAAACUCAUUUACCACGAAUUACCUCCAUAUGCAGCUGCAUAAGAAAUGAAGUGUAAACACUGCUGUCAAUCAACAUUUUAAUUGCUCAAAUGUUUGUGGAAAGCCAAUUCAAGAUGAUAUGAACAUGUUAGAGCGAAGUCAUCCUGAAACUCUGGCACUGUGUUGUGAAAGUAUUUGCAGUGCUGACCCAUCUCCACCUGGAUUCUUUUAAGACGCUCUGGAGCUUUAUUGCUACUAGGAUUAUUUUUUUUUCUGGUUCUAAAAUUGGUCUUGUAAUAAUAGAAACAUGAAAUUCGCUGACAGAUUCCCCAGUGCACUAGGAUGAGCUGAAGCUGCUAUUUUAAGCACCCUUGUGAGAAAAGUGAUUGGUAGUAUAUGCAGUGAGCCCUGAUUCAGCAAGAAUUGUUGCAGGAUCCCUGCUUCAUGUUCAAGCCAUGAAAAACAUUGAAGAGGACCUCUACGUAAAUGAAUGGACAGAAACACUGCAAGGUGCUUGGGCAAGCUCACUUGUUAGUUAUAGAAGAUUACUCAGGAGAGUCCAGCUCCAGUCAGAGCCUCAGCUGAUGAAAAUGGGCAGGAAUUCAAUGAAUUCAACAAGGUUAAAAUGAUUUUACACUUACACAGGAUUUGAUCUGACAUCUGAGUAUGAAUUUAUUUUAAUCUCAGCUUAAUCACAACUAUGUGAAUUUAUUUUAAUCACAAUGUAAUCACAACUGCUGUCAGUUGAAUGUCCCUAUAUACAGCUGUUGUGCAACAAUCAUAAAACUGAACCCAAGAUAACCAU